UACGAAGGGUGCAAGCGUUAAUCGGAAUUACUGGGCGUAAAGCGUGCGCAGGCGGUGAUGUAAGACAGGUGUGAAAUCCCCGGGCUUAACCUGGGAACUGCAUUUGUGACUGCAUCGCUGGAGUGCGGCAGAGGGGGAUGGAAUUCCGCGUGUAGCAGUGAAAUGCGUAGAUAUGUGGAGGAAUACCGAUGGCGAAGGCAGCCCCCUGGGAUAACACUGACGCUCAUGCACGAAAGCGUGGGGAGCAAACAGG
rnacentral:rRNA from 1 species